rnacentral:rRNA from 1 species
UACGUAGGGGGCAAGCGUUGUCCGGAAUCAUUGGGCGUAAAGAGCGUGUAGGCGGUCCGGUAAGUCGGUUGUGAAAGUCCAGGGCUCAACCCUGGGAUGCCGACCGAUACUGUCGGACUAGAGUUCGGAAGAGGCGAGUGGAAUUCCCGGUGUAGCGGUGAAAUGCGCAGAUAUCAGGAAGAACACCUAUGGCGAAAGCAGCUCUCUGGGACGGUACUGACGCUGAGACGCGAAAGCGUGGGGAGCGAACAGG